rnacentral:rRNA from 1 species
UAGGGAAUCUUCCACAAUGGGCGCAAGUCUGAUGGAGCAACGCCGCGUGAGUGAAGAAGGUUUUCGGACCGUAAAGCUCUGUUGUUGGUGAAGAAGGAUAGAGGUAGUAACUGGCCUUUAUUUGACGGUAAUCAACCAGAAAGUCACGGCUAACUACGUGCCAGCAGCCGCGGUAAUACGUAGGUGGCAAGCGUUGUCCGGAUUUAUUGGGCGUAAAGCGAGCGCAGGCGGAAGAAUAAGUCUGAUGUGAAAGCCCUCGGCUUAACCGAGGAAUUGCAUCGGAAACUGUUUUUCUUGAGUGCAGAAGAGGAGAGUAGAACUCCAUGUGUAGCGGUGGAAUGCGUAGAUAUAUGGAAGAAUACCAGUGGCGAAGGCGGCUCUCUGGUCUGCAACUGACGCUGAGGCUCGAAAGCAUGGGUAGCGAACAGGAUUAGAUACCCUGGUAGUCCAUGCCGUAAACGAUGAGUGCUAAGUGUUGGGAGGCUUCCGCCUCUCAGUGCUGCAGCUAACGCAUUAAGCACUCCGCCUGGGGGAGUACGACCGCAAGGUUGAAACUCU